UUUAAACAAGCAGGUGUCAGCAACUGAUAAUGAGCUACAUUUUUAGACAUGAUUUAGCAAAUUAAGAUUUUAAAUUGUACUUGUAGUGUCAAAUGUCUUGAAAUACUGUCAGCAUGAAGUAUUGUGUGAUGAAAACAAAGUGUAUUUACUACAAUGUAGUAAAUCAAAGGAGGUCCAAAGUGGCUGGAUACUGAAGAACAGUUGUAACAGGUAAAACUCUUGCCCCAAGGAAAGAAUGUGCAUUAUCACCUGCUUAAAAAGGAAGAAACAGGGGGAUACUGACUGAUGUAUGGACUUUAACACCAGGUUUUUACCCUUCAAGAGUUGGCCAACUAGAGUGAAGCAGGAGAGUGGGCUGUGCUUGACUAAGAAAAGCUGGAUUUGAUGAGAGAUCAAUACGCAUUCAAGAUCCUUAAGAAGAGAAGGACACAAGCAACAUCAGUGGUAGAUGUCACUCCAGCCCCUGCUUUUCCGGUCUCGCCUGCUGCUUUCCAGGUCCCUCCAGCUGCCAAGAUCAGGUCUAGGCACUGGCUGCCAUCCAGGUCCCCCUGGCGGUUGCGGUCGUGUUCUCAAAUGGCUGCUGUACUGGACUACUGGUCCCACCACCAUAUUCGGUCAAGGUGUCUCCAAAUGCUGAAGUCCAGGUUCCUCCGGCCACUGCGGUUCAGGUACCCCCAACAGCUGUGACCUAGUUCUCUGCAGCAGCUGCGAUCUAAAUAUAUUGACCCACUGCGGAACACUGCGGUUAAUCGUUUUUUCCAUACAAUCUUCCACAAAUGCCUCAUUUUAUAAUGAAGUGUACAAUUCUUAUGUUCAUAUUUGUUUGUGUUAUAAAGAUGAUUUUCCUGCACAUUGUGUUUUUUUCCCUUAAAACUGUAUGGGGCUAUUACUUUUUUUACUGAAACAUAUCAGCACAAAAUUGUAAAAGACUUUAACAUACUUUAAUACAAAAAAGUGUUUUAACCCACAGGAAACCACCUUGCCAAAAACCCACAAAAACUUACUGAGCAGGUUAUUGUUUGCCAAAACCUAGCGAGUGUGCGUUUCAUUGUCCAUAUGCUUAUAAAUUUAAUAAUUAGAAUGAAUUAUCUUUAAUGUAUUUUUUUUAGAUAUAUAAACUCAAGAAACUUACAUAAUUUUUGCGACACAUUACAAGUUUAUUUGAAUUUGUGUCACUCCUAAGAUUUUCCCACGGCCUCCGAAUGUCUCUCUUACCCUCUGAAAGUGUUUGUGUUUAGAAAUUAUUUAUAACGUUAUUUUUAAUAAAUAAAUCUAUUUCAGACUAUAAAAUACUGUUCUAGCUGUUGAUAUGUCCCCUUUAUAGUUAAAACUGAGAUAACUUGUGAGUAAAUAGUUGUAAAUGGUUGUAUAUACAGGGUUCCCUCUGGGCUUUCAAAAGUUGUCGCCACUUACUUUCGCCAAAUUUAAAAAGUUGUCGCCACACUGGGGCUACAUUUGGGCAAUGAAGAUCAUGUUAUUAUAAUACAAACAAAAACUGAGCAUUUACAGUAUGUUAAAGGAAUUGAUUUAAUAACAGUAGUAUUAAUAAUAACAACACAUUUAACAUUGUUAAUUAAAUAAAGGCACAUUCAAUCAGU